CCCCUCUUAGGAUCACAUCUGGUGAGUUUACAGUACUCUGCCAGUCUUGGCUAAGGAAGGGAGAGUCACGCAGAGGCCUACCCAUUCCAUUUCUACCUUGGGCAGUGGCUGGUGAGUGGAAGGUAAUCUGCCACAAGU